CCACCUGCACCCAGGUGAAAUAAGCAGCCUUGUUGCUCACACAAAACCUGUUUGGUGGUCUCUUCACAGCAACGCGAAUGAAAUUUGGUGCCAUCACUCGGAUCAGGGGACCUCCCUUGGGAGAUCAAUCCCCUGUCCUCCUGCUCUUUGCUCCAUGAGAAAGAUCCACCUACGAUCUCUGCUCCUCAGACCAACCAGCCCAAGGAACAUCUCACCAAUUUUAAAUCGGAUCUUCUCAGCUUAGCGGCUGAAGACUGAUGCUGCCAGAUGACUUUGGAAGCCCCCUGGACCAUCACAGAUGCCCAGCUUUGGAUAACUCUUACAGUGGAGGACAGGAAUAUCAGGUCUCUGAGCCCAAGCUAAGCCAUCAUAUCCCCUGUGACCUGCAUGUAUGCAUCCAGAUGGCCUGAAGUAACUGAAGAAUCACAAAAGAAGUGAAAAUGGCGCGUGCCUGCCUUAACUGAUGACAUUACCUUGUGAAAUUCCUUCUCCUGGCUCAUCCUGGCUCAAAAGCUCCCCCACUGAGCACCUUGUGACCCCCACUCCUGCCUAACAGAGAACAAUCCCCUUUGACUGUAAUUUCCCACUACCUACCCAAAUCCUAUAAAACGGCCCCACCCCUAUCUCCAUUCACUGACUCUUUUUGGACUCAGCCCACCUGCACCCAGGUGAAAUAAACAGCCUUGUUGCUCACACAGAA
rnacentral:lncRNA from 1 species